GACCAGACUCCUACGGGAGGCAGCAGUGGGGAAUAUUGCACAAUGGGGGAAACCCUGAUGCAGCGACGCCGCGUGAGUGAAGAAGUAUUUCGGUAUGUAAAGCUCUAUCAGCAGGGAAGAAAAUGACGGUACCUGACUAAGAAGCCCCGGCUAACUACGUGCCAGCAGCCGCGGUAAUACGUAGGGGGCAAGCGUUAUCCGGAUUUACUGGGUGUAAAGGGAGCGUAGGUGGCAUGGUAAGCCAGAAGUGAAAACCCGGGGCUCAACCCCGCGGAUUGCUUUUGGAACUAUCAGGCUGGAGUGCUGGAGGGGUAAGCGGAAUUCCUAGUGUAGCGGUGAAAUGCGUAGAUAUUAGGAGGAACACCGGUGGCGAAGGCGGCUUACUGGACAGAAACUGACACUGAGGCUCGAAAGCGUGGGGAGCAAACAGGAUUAGAUACCCCAGUACA
rnacentral:rRNA from 1 species